rnacentral:rRNA from 1 species
GAUCCUGGCUCAGGAUGAACGCUAGCGACAGGCUUAACACAUGCAAGUCGAGGGGCAGCAUGAUUUGUAGCAAUACAGAUUGAUGGCGACCGGCGCACGGGUGAGUAACGCGUAUGCAACUUACCUAUCAGAGGGGAUAGCCCGGCGAAAGUCGGAUUAAUACCCCGAUAAAACAGGGGUCCCGCAUGGGAAUGUUUGUUAAAGAUUCAUCGCUGAUAGAUAGGCAUGCGUU